rnacentral:rRNA from 1 species
ACGAACGCUGGCGGCAUGCCUAACCCCUGCAAGUCGAACGAGACCUUCGGGUCUAGUGGCGCACGGGUGCGUAACGCGUGGGAACCUGCCCUUAGGUUCGGAAUAACUCCCCGAAAGGGGUGCUAAUACCGGAUAAUGUCUUCGGACCAAAGAUUUAUCGCCUUUGGAUGGGCCCGCGUUGGAUUAGCUAGUUGGUAGGGUAAAAGCCUACCAAGGCGACGAUCCAUAGCUGGUCUGAGAGGAUGAUCAGCCACACUGGGACUGAGACACGGCCCAGACUCCUACGGGAGGCAGCAGUGGGGAAUAUUGGACAAUGGGCGAAAGCCUGAUCCAGCAAUGCCGCGUGAGUGAUGAAGGCCUUAGGGUUGUAAAGCUCUUUUACCCGGGAUGAUAAUGACAGUACCGGGAGAAUAAGCGCCGGCUAACUCCGUG